CAGUAAGUUUCUCUCACUGAAUUUCAGGAAGACUUCUCUGUCCCUUUCAUUUUAGGAUGAAGAAUCUGAGAGCUAGAAGCAAACUUCUCAGGGCCCAGGCCAACACUCUCAUUUUUUUGGAUGAGAAAACGGGUACCCACAGAGAGGAGUUACCUUGUCUGUGAUCUCAUAGUUCAUUAGGGUCAGGACUUGGCUGGGCACCCAGGUGCCCUGACUCCCCGGAUUCUUCUGCUUCCACAUACUAAGGCGUCUUUUGGGUGGUGAGAGCUGGUCAAAGGUGGAACCAGGCUCUUGGGGCUUGGUCUUGAUGACCAGUGAGAUCUCCAUCACUUGGAAGUAUGGAGCAGAGGUUGAAAGGGAAUCUGAAAAACCAGAGAGCAAUGUGGUCACUCUCUCUCGGUCAUCCACGUUGGCCUGCUGAUCUUCAAAAUCUUCACUUGUUUCAGGCUUGGAAUUUUAGACACAGCUGCCUAUUUGCGAUGCCCGGGAAUAUUGAGGAAGGUCAAGACUCUGCUGUCAGUGGACUGCUCAAGCCCUUGCACCCAUUACGUUAAGAAGGAAGCAUGUCAGUGGCGACCAGGAACUGAGGCUCGGGGACGUCGAUGGAAUUGCCCGAGAUUCACACAGCCCUUUGGUGGCUGAGCCAAGGGCUGCAAACAUUGCCUUUGGAGAACUGGACUACGGAUCCUAUAUAAAUACCGUGCUGCCUUUUAAUUAUAUGCUGAAGAUAAGGCUUAUUGACUUGGAACAAUCAGAAAAUAAGAUGAUGCCUAUAAUUAGGGAUUCACUGUGCUGAGAAUUUUCAGAGAAGGACUGAGGCUUUAUUGACAGCAGAGUUCACUGCCAAGACAAGAGUGACGUGUUUGCAACGAGACCACCCGAGCACCCGUGAUGUGGAUGUUAAAGUCUCCACAUUGGAGCCAGAGAAGCUGAGAGUUGGAGAGUCUACAUCACUUGCCUGAGGUCCCAGAGCUCGAGCUUUAAGAAGUAGACAAUUAUGUGGCAGAUUCAUGACUUCACUCUUCAAGGAAAAUACUUCUGGAUCCAGCAAGGAAGACAGUCAUGGGCCAUUGGUUUCUAAAAUUGCUACUUCUCCAAAAGCCCUCAGAUGAAGAAGCUGCCCACAGUCGACCCCUCUCACAAGGCUUGACUGAAAACCUGGCCCCGUGUCAUCCAGUGAGUCAGUGGAUUGCUGUUUGAUGUCAAUGCUGGUCCAGCAGUGGGUUUUCCAGAAUGCAGAGGUGGAAGGCAAGGCAGUCUCCUUCCCUCAUGGAGCGCAGUUCCUUGAUGGAGCCUAGUUAUCCUCUUUCUGCUGAAGUUCCCUCAUCUUGACUCUUCCAGCCCUACUCUAUUCCCUUCAACAUGGGGCACCAGCAGCCUUGGCUGGGUAUUGGCAAGUUUUAGCAGAAUUGAUGCUGCCUUGGUGGAGCAUUAGCAAGAUUGUUGGAGCAGGACAGGAGGUAAGUUGUAAG